rnacentral:rRNA from 1 species
CCCUUAGAUGUCCUGGGCCGCACGCGCGUUACACUGAUGCAUUCAACGAGCUUAUAACCUUGGCCGAGAGGCCUGGGCAAUCUUGUUAACGUGCAUCGUGAUAGGGAUAGAUUAUUGAAAUUAUUAAUCUUGAACGAGGAAUUCCUAGUAAACGCAGAUCAUCAAUCUGCAUUGAUUACGUCCCUGCCCUUUGUACACACCGCCCGUCGCACCUACCGAUUGGAUGGCUUAGUGAGGUUGAGGGAUUGCGCUUUCGUGUUGCAUUGCUUCACGGAAAUGCGAGAACUCCAUCAAACUUGACCAUCUAGAGGAAGUAAAAGUCGUAACA